GGGGCGGUGGCGAAACGGUAGACGCCGGGGACUUAAAAUCCUCUGCUGGCAACAGCGUGUGGGUUCGAAUCCCACCCGCCCUA
rnacentral:tRNA from 1 species